rnacentral:lncRNA from 1 species
AGGAGGAGAGUGCAUGAGUAUUUAGAUCUACAAUUCACACAAGUUACCUGUAAUUAAGAAUGUCAGAAGAACCGAGCCUCCAUUCUAAAGUUUCUGUGGUGAAGUCAUCUGUAUUUCCUAGGUCAGUAAACCCAACAACAUAAUCUUGUGUUUUCCCAUCUUUUAGCAGUGCUAGUGUGGGAAUGACUUUGAUACGCAGUCUCUCACAAAGGAAAGGUGCUUUUUCCACAUUCAGCUUCAAAAAUUUGGUCUCGAGGUGUUUCUUGGACAAUAUUGCCAGAUGUCUGUCUAGUAUUUUACA